rnacentral:lncRNA from 1 species
GGGGUUUGGGGUGUUGAAUUUAUGUAAAAUAUUCAUAAAUUGACUAACUUAAAUCUUGAUUUGAUAAAUAUUAUUUUAAAAAUAUUUUUUCUACCUUCCUGAUGGAUAUGAGAUGUUCAUAAAUCUUAAAAUAAUCUUUUUAGAAAAGAAGUUCCUUAGUAAAGAAAAUGAUGCUGUUAAGAACAAGCUUGAAGAAGCUUGAUAAGUAGAGGA